rnacentral:rRNA from 1 species
CGGGUGAGUAACACGUAUCCAACCUGCCGUCUACUCUUGGACAGCCUUCUGAAAGGAAGAUUAAUACAAGAUGGCAUCAUGAGUUCACAUGUUCACAUGAUUAAAGGUAUUCCGGUAGACGAUGGGGAUGCGUUCCAUUAGAUAGUAGGCGGGGUAGCGGCCCACCUAGUCUUCGAUGGAUAGGGGUUCUGAGAGGAAGGUCCCCCACAUUGGAACUGAGACACGGUCCAA